GGGCCGGUGGCGCAGCUGGAAGCGCACCGCGCUGGCGUCGCGGAGGUCGUGGGUUCGAAUCCCACCCGGUCCACCA
rnacentral:tRNA from 1 species